rnacentral:rRNA from 1 species
UACGUAGGGCGCAAGCGUUGUCCGGAAUUAUUGGGCGUAAAGAGCUCGUAGGUGGCGUGUCGCGUCUGCCGUGAAAGCCCAUGGCUUAACUGUGGGUCUGCGGUGGAUACGGGCAGGCUGGAGGCUGGUAGGGGCAAGCGGAAUUCCUGGUGUAGCGGUGAAAUGCGCAGAUAUCAGGAGGAACACCCGUGGCGAAAGCGGCGAGCUGGACCACUACUGACGCUGAAGAACGAAAGCUAGGGGAGCAAACAGG